GAGACGUCCGGAACGCGCGACUCGAGCGAUGUCGCUCGCGAAUAAGUGCGAAGGACACUACACGGACGGUCGCUGCCGAGUCCCCGGGGUGACAUCUUAAUCGCGAAUCGAAAUUAGGAACGAGACGAAUGCGUCUCGCAAAUAAGAGGGCAAAGUCGCGUUUUCAUCGACUUUGAAAAGAAGGAUAGUCAGUCAAAGAAAAGUUUCACUGAUUGAUACCACCCAACACACCGAUUUGAAUAUUAAAAUAUGACUAAAGAAAAAAAAGAAGGCCGACAAAAAAGGCAAAGAAAGAGGCAAGGAUAACAAAAUCGAGGAGCGUCGAAUAGUGAAAAGAUUAUACAACACACGUUCUCGCGGAGUAAUUAAAGAAUAUAAAACAAAUAACGGAAAAUAACAAUAGAGAGAGAAAGAAAUCGCGUGGACACGGAGAACGCGACCGAAACAAAGAGAGGAAACGAAGAUAAUGCUGCGCAAGUGUUAAGCGACUGUUUAUCACGGCAAAUGGAGACGAAAACACCAUCCAGAAUGGUUUGGUCACCUCGCUCACGUUACCGGUGAGAUAUCAGGAUAGAGAGUGGGAGAGAGAGAAUAACGGAGGUGCGAAGGACCGUUAGCGGACCACGGCAAGGAACUAGAUACACACGGACGGUAAUUUCGAUUUAGAGACUUAUUUCGAGCUUCAUGACUUUCUGUUUAUACCCUGUCAGAAACGGGUCCUCGACUGUGCGCAAGUAGAGACGGCAAAUGAAACUUCGCUCUGCGAAGACGGAAGCGAAGACGAAGACUACGACGACGGCGCGAAUCUACGGAAGUGCGCCUUCUUGGUGCCGAGGCUCCAGUUUACUCGGCGCCGUAAUGGCCCUCGAGCGAGAUUAGAAUCGUCGCGGGUUCCGGACCGUGAUGCAAACUCCGAGUCGAUGCGUCGACUAUCAAGGUCCAUUAACACCUCUCCGAUCUAUGUUCAUACCGUACUGUGCUAAAAUAUAUGCCGUGGGAUUAAGUGUCCGCAAUGUUUGUCCGUCUGAUUUGCGUAUUCGCACCGA